UACGUAGGGGGCAAGCGUUGUCCGGAAUCAUUGGGCGUAAAGCGCGUGUAGGCGGCUCGAUAAGUCUGCUGUGAAAGUUCAGGGCUCAACCCUGAAAUGCCGGUGGAAACUGUCGAGCUAGAGUCCGGAAGAGGUGAGUGGAAUUCCUGGUGUAGCAGUGAAAUGCGUAGAUAUCAAGUGGAACACCAGUGGCGAAGGCGAGUCUCUGGACAUCUCCUGACGCUGAGGCACGAAAGCCAGGGGAGCAAACGGG
rnacentral:rRNA from 1 species